rnacentral:rRNA from 1 species
UACGUAGGCAGCAAGCGUUGUUCGGAAUUACUGGGCGUAAAGAGUGUGUAGGCGGUUCUCUAAGUUCGGUGUGAAAUCUCCCGGCUUAACUGGGAGGGUGCGCCGGAAACUGGAGGGCUUGAGUAUGGGGAGAGGAAAGCGGAAUUCCUGGUGUAGCGGUGAAAUGCGUAGAUAUCAGGAGGAACACCUGCGGUGUAGACAGCUUUCUGGACCAUCACUGACGCUGAGACACGAAAGCGUGGGUAGCAAACAGG